rnacentral:rRNA from 1 species
GACGAACGCUGGCGGCGUGAUUAACACAUGCAAGUCGAACGGAAAGGCUCUGAUUUUGUGGGGUGCUCGAGUGGCGAACGAGUGAGUAACACGUGAGUAACCUGCCCUUGACUUUGGGAUAACUUCAGGAAACUGGGGCUAAUACCGGAUAGGAGCUCCUGCUGCAUGGUGGGGGUUGGAAAGUUUCGGCGGUUGGGGAUGGACUCGCGGCUUAUCAGCUUGUUGGUGGGGUAGUGGCUUACCAAGGCUUUGACGGGUAGCCGGCCUGAGAGGGUGACCGGCCACAUUGGGACUGAGAUACGGCCCAGACUCCUACGGGAGGCAGCAGUGGGGAAUAUUGCACAAUGGGCGGAAGCCUGAUGCAGCAACGCCGCGUGCGGGAUGACGGCCUUCGGGUUGUAAACCGCUUUCGCCUGUGACGAAGCGUGAGUGACGGUAAUGGGUAAAGAAGCACCGGCUAACUACGUG